rnacentral:ncRNA from 2 species
CUGCGUCCGCACGGGAGCCCAAGAGGGCUGAGAGGGAGCGGGGGCGCUCCGACCGUGGAACCUGAUCCGGGUCAUACCGGCGCAGGGAGCGUGAUCGUCUGGUGA